UGCGUAGGCGGAAGAUUAAGUCAGUGUUGAAAUCCUGCAGCUCAACUGUAGAACUGUCAUUGAUACUGAUUUUCUUGAAUACAGUAGAGGUAGGCGGAAUAUGUAAUGUAGCGGUGAAAUGCUUAGAUAUUACAUAGAACACCGAUUGCGAAGGCAGCUUACUAUACUGUGAUUGACGCUGAGGCACGAAAGCGUGGGGAGCGAACAGGAUUAGAUACCCUGGUAGUCC
rnacentral:rRNA from 1 species